rnacentral:rRNA from 1 species
AUUGAACGCUGGCGGCAUGCUUUACACAUGCAAGUCGAACGGUAACAGGCCGCAAGGUGCUGACGAGUGGCGAACGGGUGAGUAAUGCAUCGGAACGUGCCCAGUCGUGGGGGAUAACGCAGCGAAAGCUGCGCUAAUACCGCAUACGAUCUAUGGAUGAAAGCGGGGGACCGUAAGGCCUCGCGCGAUUGGGGCGGCCGAUGUCAGAUUAGGUAGUUGGUGGGGGAAAGGCGCACCAAGCCAACGAUCUGUAGCUGGUCUGAGAGGACGACCAGCCACACUGGGACUGAGACACGGCCCAGACUCCUACGGGAGGCAGCAGUGGGGAAUUUUGGACAAUGGGCGCAAGCCUGAUCCAGCAAUGCAGCGUGCAGGAAGAAGGCCUUCGGGUUGUAAACUGCUUUUGUACGGAACGAAACGGUCCUGGUUAAUACCCGGGGCUAAUGACGGUACCGUAAGAAUAAGCACCGGCUAACUACGUGCCAGCCGCCGCAGUAACAC